AUUGUCUUUCUGUGUUUUCUUGCAACUCAUUGAACUUCCUUAAAACAGCUAUUUUGGAUUCUUUAUUGGGUAAAUCACAGAUCUCCAUAUCUUUGGUCCAAAUUGCUGGGAGGU